UUAAUGAGUUUUGAAAUGAGUUGUAGCUGGCCUUUUGGGGCAUGUGCACACCCUUUUCAUCCCGCUCCACACCUGUGCACUUCCCUGUAGGUUGGCGUGGGCUUUGGGGCCUUUUUGGGUUCCGAGGCAUUCUGCUGGCCUAUGUACACCACAAACUCGAAUGUACCAGAAUGUAAACGCGUUUAACGCAUUUUAAUACAACUUUCAGCAACGGAUCUCUUGGCUCUCGCAUCGAUGAAGAACGCAGCGAAAUGCGAUAAGUAAUGUGAAUUGCAGAAUUCAGUGAAUCAUCGAAUCUUUGAACGCACCUUGCGCUCCUUGGUAUUCCGAGGAGCAUGCCUGUUUGAGUGUCAUGGAAUUCUCAACCCAUAAAUCCUUGUGGUAUAUGUGGGCUUGGAUUUGGAGGCUUGCCGGCUCUGGUCAGUCGGCUCCUCUUGAACGCAUUAGCUUGAUUUUGUGCGGAUCGGCUUUCAGUGUGAUAAUCGUUUACGCUGUGGCCGUGAAGUGUUUGGUGAGCUUCCAAUCGUCCCCUUGGGACAAUCGUUUGACAUCUGACCUCAAAUCAGGUAGGACUACCCGCUGAACUUAA
rnacentral:rRNA from 1 species